rnacentral:lncRNA from 1 species
GACUGCUCACACUGCUGCCCCAGAACAUCCAGAAACAGAUCCGAGAAUCACUGCUCUGUUCAUUCCACGAGUGUCUGUCAAGUGAAACUUCCAAGUCACUAUGCUGGGUACCAUGGAGGAGACGGAGACAUUCAGGAGAUAAGCCCAAAUCUCAUGGACCUUUCAAUGAGGCAUGAAAAAAAGGACAGGUGCACCAAUCAUCAAAGAUAGAAACCCCUAAGGAAGGUAAAAGUAAAGCCUGAGGGAUCUCAGGUGAGGGAGGUAAUGAGUCAGCUGAGGGACUCAGCAUGGUGUUAUGGAGAAGGUGGACCUUGACCUUGGCUUUGAAGGAUGUGUAAUAUUUGAUUAUGUGGAAUAAGGGGAAAGUGUGGUGGUGUGAAAGCACAUCCAGGGAGGGUACUGUAAAGGGAGAAUAUCAGAA